CCUUGACUAUUUUAGCCCGCUUGCCCUAACCGGUAAGUGAGCGCUGAGAGACGUUGGGGAUCCAUGUACGCUGUGCAGUGCCUACUCUUCACUGAGCGGGUGCGUGCGGUGUACAUCUUUUACUUUGAAAAAAUUAGAGUGCUUAAAGCAGGCUUAUGCCACUGAAUACAUUAGCAUGGAAUAAUAAUAUAGGACUUUGGUUCUAUUUUGUUGGUUUCUAGAACUGAAGUA
rnacentral:rRNA from 1 species